rnacentral:rRNA from 1 species
AUACGUAGGUGGCGAGCGUUGUCCGGAAUUACUGGGCGUAAAGGAUGCGUAGAUGGAUACUUAAGUGGGAUGUGAAAUCCCCGGGCUCAACCCGGGAACUGCAUUCCAAACUGGGUAUCUAGAGUGCAGGAGAGGAAAGCGGAAUUCCUAGUGUAGCGGUGAAAUGCGUAGAUAUUAGGAGGAACACCAGUGGCGAAGGCGGCUUUCUGGACUGUAACUGACACUGAGGCAUGAAAGCGUGGGUAGCAAACAGGAUUAGAUACCCUGGUAGUCCACGCCGUAAACGAUGGGUACUAGGUGUAGGAGGUAUCGACCCCUUCUGUGCCGUCGUUAACACAAUAAGUACCCCGCCUGGGGAGUACGGUCGCAAGACUAAAACUCAAAGGAAUUGACGGGG